rnacentral:lncRNA from 1 species
UGAUAUAAGGCCUAUGAAACUUUGUUAACUUUAUUGAUAUAUUAAAGUUAAAAUUUGGAUUGUUAUAUUUUUUAUUUAAAUUAUUGACUAAUUGUUCCGUUGUGAAGUAUUGGUAUCGUGAUAAGAUGCCUUGCAUGCUUAUGGAAAGAGUUUUCUAUGAGUAUGCGGUGGUUGCCAUGACCCUCGAUUCACAAUCUCGGUUCGGAGGUAUGACAAUUAAGGUGGUAUCAAAGCAUAAGUAGAUAAAUUAUGAAACAUAGAAUCAGAUAUAAAAUGAGUGUAAGUGGAUAGACACUAGAAAUAUUAUUGUGUAGAUCUUUGAUGAUUGUAGUGGGAGAAAUCUUUAUAAUUUUUGAUUAAACAUUAAGAUUAUGUAUGAAAGGAUCACGAGAGAUUAUGACAUAUAGAGUUUGAAAUAUGAUGGAUGAUUUAUGGAUCAUGAUAUGAUUAGUUAGAUUUUGAUCAAAAGUAAUUAUAAAAGGAUUGAUAUAAAAUUUUAUUGUGCAUUAUGGUUAUUAAUUUGAUCAUUGAUUAUUCAAGUCAAUCGUAAGCUCAAAUUUGAUAUGAGAAUAAUACUAUGAUAUUACUUCUACUUGAGAAGUUGACUAUUAUUGGCAAGAUAAAGAUUUGAUGAUAAAAUAUUGUUUUAGAAUUCGUGUUUGAUUGGAAUAUUUAUCAAAAUUGAACUUGAUACAUGGAUCACAUAUAAAGUGGCAUAUUAGGAUGAAUGCAUAUUUAGGGAUAUUGCAAAGAAGCUUAUUUCUUAUUGAUGAAAUGGAUUAUGAGAUUGUAAGAUAUUCAUUGUACUAGAAUUUUUAAUCAUCAUC